rnacentral:lncRNA from 13 species
GUCUAGGGUUCUUUUUUUGGACACGAAUUCAAAUUCAUCUGUGUAUCUCUCACUUUUUCCACAUGAGAGUUAGGUAGAAGUUACACAGGAGGAAUUCUACUCUUUGGGUUGAGAGUGGAAAUAGGCUUUGAAAUGCCAUGUGGCUAUCUUUCAAAUGUUAUGCAAUAGAGCUUCAGCAAUGUAUUACAUUCAAAUGGGCAUUGUGGAAAGUUGGAGAAAAGGAACCAAGAGUGGCAGCCUUCUCCCAUUGUUUGGUAUGGCAGAAGGAGUCUGGUGGACACAGAAUUGAAAAUAACUGAGAUGGAAACAAUUUUCAGAGUCAAAGCUUACGGAUCAAUAUUUGGAAGACAACAAGAGUCAAUGACCAGAAAAGAAGAUGUUGUCUUUCAGACUAUAUAGACUGCAAAAGUAGGUAUUCUUUCGAUUGGUUCUUUCCUCUGUGUCUACCUUGUGUGCUUUUUCAGUUGUUUAUAAAUAGAGCACAUGGCAGAGUCUUGGAAGACUCCAAACUGGUUAGUAUGUUUGCAUUUUGGUUUUAAUGAAGAGUUUAGGUUUUCUAUUCUGUUUUAAUGUAGAGUUAAGGUUUUCUAUUCUGAGAACCUGCUUUCUUGUCAGCAAAGGUUAAUGUUUUAUUAGAAAGUGUUGUGAAUUUUCUCAGUAAGGACAGUGUAUCUGCUUCUUCCUUCAUAUCUCUGAUAGAACCUAAGACAAUGCUCUGCUCUCACUAGGUCCCAAUCCUCAGUGAAAAUUAUACUUCCUCUUUCCCAUCUUGUUUCUGAAUAAGUUGAAAAGUAAUAGACGUGAUGGCUAAAUUAUCAUUGUCUUCCUAAUAGAGAUUAGGUUAAAGAACUGGGCUUUAGAUUUGUUAACCAAGUGGACUUGCUAAUGUUUAACUCAGAUUUAGGAAGACUCACUCCAGUCACAGCAAGGAAGGUACAGGUGGGCCACAGGAUGGGCCUGUCUAGGCAAUAUUUUUCCAAGGAAGAACAAAGCAGAAUUUCUACUUUCCAUGACAGAUUCACUCUCAUGGGGAAUACAUGGGAGCUGAACCAGGCAUACCCAGUUAUUUCUGCAAAUUUAUCAGACACAUAUGGACCAUUAUGUAGUAGUGGUGAUACUCUUGCUGGUCUCCUUCAUCCCAAAGUAUUUAAUACCCAGCAAUGUGAUAAGGAAGCCGAGAAGGUGAUGCCUCCUCCAAGAGCUGGAGCUGCACAUUGGUGA